rnacentral:rRNA from 1 species
AGGUGGUGCAUGGUUGUCGUCAGCUCGUGUCGUGAGAUGUUGGGUUAAGUCCCGCAACGAGCGCAACCCUCGUUCUAUGUUGCCAGCACGUAAUGGUGGGAACUCAUGGGAGACUGCCGGGGUCAACUCGGAGGAAGGUGGGGAUGACGUCAAAUCAUCAUGCCCCUUAUGUCUUGGGCUUCACGCAUGCUACAAUGGCCGGUACAAAGGGCUGCAAUACCGUGAGGUGGAGCGAAUCCCAAAAAGCCGGUCCCAGUUCGGAUUGAGGUNUGCAACUCGACCUCAUGAAGUCGGAGUCGCUAGUAAU